UACUAAGGGGGCUAGCGUUGCUCGGAAUUACUGGGCGUAAAGCGCACGUAGGCGGUCUUUUAAGUCGGGGGUGAAAUCCUGGAGCUCAACUCCAGAACUGCCUUCGAUACUGGAAGACUUGAGUCCGGGAGAGGUGAGUGGAACUGCGAGUGUAGAGGUGAAAUUCGUAGAUAUUCGCAAGAACACCAGUGGCGAAGGCGGCUCACUGGCCCGGUACUGACGCUGAGGUGCGAAAGCGUGGGGAGCAAACAGG
rnacentral:rRNA from 1 species